GUAAGGCUGGGCUUUUUGCUGCUGUUGGUUGGUCUUAUUUAAAAAAAAAAAAAAGAUUCUGUGUGUGUGUGUGUGUGUGUGUGUGUGUGUGUUGGGGGCUUUAGCAGAGACCCGCCACAGACACAAGUGUCCACCUCGUCCAGGGCCUGGUUCCGAGGGCAUAAGGCCCCUGGCUCCAUCCACAUGACUCUUGACUUCUCCGAAAGGGCUCAUCUGCUCAGGACCUUGGCCUGUCAUUCUCUCUGCUUGGCUACCAGGAUAUAAAACACUUGGGAGAAAUCACGGAUUUUCUGUCUCUAAAGAUUUCCAGGUUGAGAAAUGGUCCUCUUCAGGUCUGGAGGCUGCACCCUAGACUGUGAGGGUAAAGACUUUUGCGAUCGCCAGUUGUGCGGUUGGUUUGUGAGUCAUUGUGGAGCACUUGGCCGGGCCGGAGACAGCAAGAAGCAAUUAGUCCUCUGAUCGACGCGGUUUGUCAACAUAAAAGGGGAGGCUCCGUGGCCCUUUCUUCAGACAACCUGCUUGCUGUGCAGACCGCCUGGACUCCACCACCUGGAGCUCCUCUUCCAAUGAGGCCGCAGGGCAGUCCCUUCUGUUUGUGACCGACAGCAGGCCGAGCCCAGCCCCCGCCC
ensembl:lncRNA